AUGGCCCUGCAGGCACAGGUCUGCGUGUGCACAGAGGAGGAGGAGAAACGCAAGCUCUGGGACUCGUUGCGCAAGAAGUGCCAGAAGGCAAGGGCGAAAGUGGCAACUGCGAAGGCUUGGAAAGAAAAGCGAGAGCAAUGGGAGGUCCAGGGUCCUGCAUUCAUGGCAUUCCCGAGCGGUGGGGAGACACCAGGAGAGGAUGAGGAAAGCCCAGAGGACAAGCUGAGUCUUUGCCUUUUGGAGUACUCAUCUCUGCAAAGGGAGCGGAUGUGUUGCACAACGGUGAGUCCCAUGAAAGCCUCUAAGGCACAGAGGCUCCCAAGAUUGAUGUCGAGCAAAAGCCUCUUCCAGGAUCACAAGCAGCAGCGCCGGCCAGCGAGGAUGUUACCAGCACUGCUUCCGUCUGAUCAAGAAGGACCUAUACGCAAACCACUGUGUCUGACACUGUGGGUCUUGGUGGCUGUGAAAUAUGCACUCAGUGGUGGGUGAGCUUUGGUGGAGCAAGGAAAGGCCACUGCAGGACAGAGGAGUUUCAGUCCUAUUCCAAGGGCAGGCCUCUCCCAAGGCUUUGCUAUAGCAUGUCGGCUGCAGCCCUGCUCUUGGUGGCCCAUGCACCUUCUGGUCUGUGGCAGUGUGCCCUGCCAUUGCUGCAGAGCUCUGCUGUGGAGGGUGGAGACGAGAGGAGGGAGGAGGAGGAAGAGGAGAAGGAAGUGUAGUGCUGGGCAGCCAGGGCAACAGAGCUGCCAGGGAAGCAGCCGGGGGCUUGUACAGCCAAGGCACUGCAGGGCAUGGAGGCCAGCUCUGUCAGAGGUGCACAGAGCAGUGCCACGGGGACAACGAAAGCCUAGGCAGGAACCGUGCCUGGGGAGAGGGAAGCUAUGGGGGGCAGCUUUUCGGUUGGGUGGCUUGGCUCUGCCAAAGCUCUGCUCAGGUUCCUGAGCAGAGUUUUGUUCAACACUUCCUGGUUCGAAGGAGGGGGGAGCUGAGGUGAGAUGGGGACACUUCUGAAAACUCCUCUCCAGACACCUGGGGGGACAUAAUGCAU
rnacentral:lncRNA from 1 species